rnacentral:lncRNA from 1 species
CUUUCAUCCUCAAUUAAAUGACAUUUGGUUCGAAAUUCCUCAAAUUGCGCGAUAUACUCAGUCACUAAUUAAUUUCCUUGUUUAAGGGCAUCCCAUUGAGUAAGAAUUUCAAAAUUAUCUCGUUCUCGCUUACGAAUCUGAUCCCUAUUCCUACGAUCGCGUCGAAAAUAUUUUUGAUCACUUUGUCCACGAUGAUAUUGUCUAUUAUGAGACGCUUCAUAAUUAGUGUUAGUUAAACGAGGGGUUCGCUUAAAAUUGCUCAACUUAGCAACUAGGUUCUUUCUCUCCUCACGAGUAGCAGUUAUAUCUGAUUGGACAGUCGAUAGGCUAGUGGCAAGUUGCGCUAAUUGUCUAGUGAGU